AUCUCUUGAUGGAAGGAACGGCGGAGGCACCUUGCAAAAAACGUGCAGACCGGGAGGGAUGGAUAAAUUGGCACCAUUAAGGCCAGCUCUUUACGAGAAUGUAAGCUUAAGCUCUGCAAGGCCAAGGACUGUCCCUUGUUGAUGUUUUAUCCCUCGUCGGCUCCAACCUGUGGCCAAGUUCCUGGAACUGGUGGAAGAGGAGCCCUCCGCCUGUCACCACUGUGGCUGGGACAGAGUGACCACACUGCUGUCGAUUUGGACCUGUGACAGCAUCCUCAGCUUCAAGGCGCAUGCGCAGCCGAGGUUACCCAAAUUCACGCUGCCUGACCGCACAGCCUCACUAGGCAGAAGUUCCUGGACCAUGGAUAGAACCUGUGCCGUGGCCACCACCCAAGCCUCAGCAGGGACCAUGCUGGAUCCUGAACUUGCUGCACCGCCAGGGAGCUCUGCCCUGCAGCUUUGCUUGGUUUAAGCCCAUCAGGGCCUCUGAUCCACUAUGAGAUCCAAGCAUGGUAGAGACAGGGAGGCAUCUUGAAACUCUUCAAUCCAGCUUCACCCUCUUGCAGCAGUGGUUCUGAGUCCGGAUGCUUCGCCCGAUGACAGCCAAUGAGCAUGGGAUUGCGAUGAUUAAGCUGCCUUAUCCAUUAGCUGGAAAGCAAAAGAAGAAAGGGCAACAGACAGGUGCCUUUGUUUAUUCUACACCUGUCUACUGAGUGCUACCCGAGUCUGUACUUCGCUAGGCCCGAGGACACAGCAGAGGACGAGGAUGUGAAACUCACCAGUGACUGGGAAGCUGAGUCCCGAGAGAAAGUUUGAAGCAGAAGCUCUGAAGCCAGCAGAGGAAACUGGGAAGGAACAUGCAGAAAUGUCAGAGGGGAAUCACAGGGGCAUGAUGUCCUGGAAACUACAGGAGGAAAGUGUUCAAGAAAGUUCUCUGGGAGUAAGUUGGCUUGAGGAGCAGGGGUGGUGUGUCCUGCUCCAUAUAGUCCGUGGAGACAUAGCCCUUUUACGCUGUGGCUCUGUAAUACCUCUGCACUUUGAACUCGAAGCUGAAUCGCCAGCAUCAGGCCUGCAGAUGGUGGAAGAGGAAGGAUCACCGGUGACAGCUUCUUCAUGGACCAGUGUCCUUCACCAACAUUCAACUGGCUGGAGCUUAAUCCCAUUGCGACGCCCAACAGCAAGGGAGGCUGUGACUUGUAGUCUGAAUCAUCCCUAGAAGGUGGUCCACAGGCUGGAGAAGCCCAAGGGAAGAAGGAUGCUGAGUUACGAUGGGUGGUCCUGAUGGUGCAAAGGCAGGGAAUGGACCGAGUAUCCAGGGUGAAUUUCCUGGCCGGAGAGGAGACGAUAACAAGGCUCCGAAGAGAAAAAGAGAAAGGAGAACAAAGGAAAACACUGGUUGACACCACUCCAGAAAAGCUAUCUGACUGAUAUUUGCCAUGAUUGUGUCACAUGGUGCUGUGCUAAAUGGUUUCUAAGAUCUCUUCAACGUCUUGACAGUCUCUGGAGGUGAUGACUUUUGACUAAAUUGAAUUUUCUUCCUUUUCCCUGUGGGCCCCAUCAGUGCGCAAAGAAAGAGACUUUAGUAUCUCCUUGCUAGUGAAACAAGACAUUUGAAGACAAAACAUCGCACCAAACUGGAGGCUCCUGAAUAACUGUGAUUGUCACGCACACAGUGGCUUCAGUUGUUUUGGAAAAACUUGAUCUGUCAAUGAGUCCAGAACGUGCUAGUUCAGUGGGGGAAAGAGGAUGGGAAAUACCGCCGCUAGGAGGGAACCGAGUCAUAUGACGCUGGAGGAUGUCUGAUGGGGCGCCGAAGAGCGCGAUUUCAAUGAACGCGGAACGCUUUUGUUUUUAUUUACAGGCAUCUGCCUGGAAGGGCUCUCCAGGCUAGACGCUAUCAAGUACAUCCUCUGGUUGGAGCCUCCAGGAGCUGCCUUUCCUCCUCCCUCCUCUCCGCACCUCUCCGCAGUUUAACCUCCCCAGUCAAAGCGCGGAUCGAUGUCACGGUGACAGAUCUUUUUCCUACCGUGAUAGUGUCUGUAAAUCAAAGCCCAUCAGGGUAGACCAGAAGCUCUGACGACACCACAUCAUCCUUUGCAAUUCCACCCGUGUCAAAGAACAAUAAGCAUGACUUUGGAGGAAAAUGUUUUUUGGAAAUAAAUUGAGGCAGUAUUUCAAAAAGG
rnacentral:lncRNA from 9 species